rnacentral:rRNA from 1 species
UACGGGGGGGGCAAGCGUUGUUCGGAAUUACUGGGCGUAAAGGGCUCGUAGGUGGCCAACUAAGUCAGACGUGAAAUCCCUCGGUUUAACCGGGGAACUGCGUCUGAUACUGGAUGGCUUGAGUUUGGGAGAGGGACGCGGAAUUCCAGGUGUAGCGGUGAAAUGCGUAGAUAUCUGGAGGAACACCGGUGGCGAAGGCGGCGUCCUGGACCAACACUGACACUGAGGAGCGAAAGCCAGGGGAGCAAACGGG